rnacentral:tRNA from 1 species
GACCCCGUAGCUCAGCUGGAUAGAGCGUCUCCCUCCGGAGGAGAAGGCCGCAGGUUCAAAUCCCGCCGGGGUCG